UACGUAGGGGGCUAGCGUUGUCCGGAAUCAUUGGGCGUAAAGCGCGCGUAGGUGGCCUCAUAAGUCCGCUGUGAAAGUCAAAGGCUCAACCUUUGAAAGCCGGUGGAUACUGUGAGGCUAGAGUACGGAAGAGGCGAGUGGAAUUCCUGGUGUAGCGGUGGAAUGCGCAGAUAUCAGGAGGAACACCGGUGGCGAAGGCGGCAUCCUGGACCAAUUCUGACGCUGAGGAGCGAAAGCCAGGGGAGCAAACGGG
rnacentral:rRNA from 1 species